CAGAAAAUAGUUUAAGUAAAAAUACUAGUUUUGGGGACUAGAGAUGGGUGAAUUGCUUUUUUUGA
rnacentral:tRNA from 1 species